rnacentral:snRNA from 1 species
GGAUGUGAGGGUGAUCUGGCUGUGAAAUCUGUCAUGCCAUUAUCAUCAGGGUUAAUCUAGCUGAUCUGGCUGGCUAGGCAGGUACUCUUUUCACUCCAUCAGUUC